rnacentral:rRNA from 1 species
UACGGAGGGAGCUAGCGUUGUUCGGAAUUACUGGGCGUAAAGCGCGCGUAGGCGGCCUUGCAAGUUAGAGGUGAAAGCCCGGAGCUCAACUCCGGAACUGCCUUUAAAACUGCAUAGCUUGAAUCCGGGAGAGGUGAGUGGAAUUCCCGGUGUAGUGGUGGAAUGCGUAGAUAUCGGGAGGAACACCAGUGGCGAAGGCGACUUCCUGGACCUGUUCUGACGCUGAGGAGCGAAAGCGUGGGGAGCGAUCCGG